rnacentral:rRNA from 1 species
UCGAGAAUCAUUCGCAAUGGGCGCAAGCCUGACGAUGCGACGCCGCGUGGACGAUGAAGGCCUUCGGGUUGUAAAGUCCUUUCGCUUGGGAAUAAGAAAUGCGAGUUAAUACCUCGCAAAUUUGAAGGUACCAGGUAAAGAAGCACCGGCUAACUCCGUGCCAGCAGCUGCGGUAAUACGGAGGGUGCUAGCGUUAAUCGGAUUUAUUGGGCGUAAAGGGGGCGCAGGUGGGAAUGUAAGUCAGACGUGAAAUACCAGAGCUCAACUCUGGAACUGCGUUUGAAACUACAUUUCUUGAGGGUAGGCGGAGAAAACGGAAUUCCACAAGUAGCGGUGAAAUGCGUAGAUAUGUGGAAGAACAUCAGUGGCGAAGGCGGGUUUCUAGCUUAUUCCUGACACUCAUGCCCGAAAGCGAGGGGAGCAAACAG